AAGUCGUAACAAGGUUUCCGUAGGUGAACCUGCGGAAGGAUCAUUAAUGAAUGCAAGGAUGCUCUCUUUAGAGGUCCGACCCAUUUUUAUUACCACACUGUGAACCAACUACUUUUUACACCAAUUUUUAAACACUUUAAAACAGUUUUAGAAUGUCAUCAGUCUCUUAAUUGAGCAUUAAAGUUAUAAAACUUUCGGCAACGGAUCUCUUGGCUCCC
rnacentral:misc_RNA from 1 species